GAGUUCGCGCGAAGUGAAAUCCGAAAAAAAUGUGUUGACAUUAAAGUAGGCUACUCUAUUUGCUAGAGAUGGGCAAAUGUCGGUUCAAUCCGUCGUGGGUACACGACCCUAAGUAUAACUGGGUUCAGCCUGUGCCAGGGAAUGUGUGGGAGGCACAGUGUACUUUAUGCAGAAAAACCUUCAAACUUGGGACCAUGGGGCAUAUAGCCUUGAACUCCCAUAUGAAGAGUGCUAAGCACACAAAAUUGGUUGAAGUGCGUUCGAGCCAGGCACCGAUAGCAACUUUCUGUGUGCCACCUUCAGUGCAGUCUACCUCCGUGGCUAGCGCUACACCACUGCAGCAGGUACCACUGUCAGGGUUACUGUGCGGGUCAACACCAACUCUGCAGGCAGAGGUAAUAUGGACUCUUAGGACAGUAUACGAACACCACUCCUACUCCUCCAAUGAGGGCAUCACCGAUGUAUUCAAAUGCAUGUUCCCUGACUCUCAAAUCGCGGCAACAUUUUCAUGCGGGAGCAACAAGACAGCGUAUCUUACGAAGUUCGGCCUCGUCCCUUUUAUCAGUAAGGAGCUCACUGAGCAGGUAAACCAGGCUGUUGGUUUUGUGCCAAUGUUGGACGAAAGCCUCAACAAAAGCACAAAAACCAAACAGCUUGACAUCCAUCUCCGCUACUGGGACGGUGACCGUGUUCGAUCACGAUAUUUUGGCUCGCAGUUCAUGGGCCAUGCAAAGGCGGUGGACCUUCUCAGUAAUUUCAAGGAGUGUUUACGUGACCUUGAUUUGAGGAGGAUGGUCUCUUUGUCCAUGGACGGACCCAACGUCAAUUGGCGUUUUCUUGAGAUGCUGCAGACGGAGCAUGCUGAGCAUUUUGGGGGUGCCCAGUUGGUUGUAGUGGGAAGUUGUGGGCUACACACUCUACAUAAUGCUGUCAAAUGUGGAUUCACUGAGUGGCAUAUGGAGAAGUUCUUAAGAGCUCUUCAUACUAUUUUUCACAAUGUGCCAGCAAGAAGGGAGGAUUUUUGCAAUCUUACAAAGUCCAAAACCUUUGCUUUGCCUUUCUGUGGUCACCGCUGGAUCGAGAACCUCCCAGUAGUGCAGAGAGCCAUUGAGAUCUGGCCUGACAUGAAGAAAUAUGUUGAUGCUGUUACAACCAAGAAGCUCCCAAACCCUGGAACGUCUUCUUAUGACACCAUCGAGGUGGCAACCAAAGACCCUCUUAUUUUGGCAAAGCUGCAUUUUUACAUGGCAGUUUCACGAAGUGUGACACCCUUCUUGACAAAGUAUCAAACGGAUGAACCUGUGCUUCCAUUCUUUGCCAAUGACUUGGCUGAAUUACUGAAGAAUUUGCUGAGGCGAUUCAUCAAGCGAGAGCUACUGACUGAUGUCACACCUCAGCACUUGGUACGGCUUGAUGUCACUGACAAGCAGUCGAGGGUGCAUCCAAAGGCAGUGGACAUCAGCAUUGGUGCAGAGACUGCCAUAAAGGUGAUCUGAUCACCCAGAAGUUCUCAGAGAUGCUGUCCCUGGAGGUCCGAACUGAAGAAUUUCAGUCCUUCCAGCCAUUCAAGAAAAGACUGGAUGUCUUUCUAAGCAACAUCAUCAGUGAGACCUACCCACAACUUUGGUCCUUUAUCCAGAAGCUUCUACUUCUAUCACACGGGCAGGCAACAGUUGAGCGGGGCUUUUCGGUGAACAAAGAAAUUGAAACUGCUAACAUUCACGAAGACACCGUUGUAGCGCAGAGAAUCGUCUGUGACUACAUCUCUCUCCAUGGAGGGGCUACCAAGGUCCCCCUCACGCCAGCCCUGCUUUCCUCGGCCUCAUCUUCCAGAGCAAGAUAUAGAAUUAAUCUUGAGACGGAGAGAAAAAAGAGAGAAUCUCAAGCAGAGUCAGAAAAACGAAAGGCCAUUGAGGAGAACCUGGAGCAACUGAGAAAGCACAGAAGAUCCAUCAAGGAGGUAGCCGAACAUCUGCUCAGGGAUGCUGAUAAGUUGGCAGACCAGGCUGAAGCCAAGCAAGCAGGCAGCAAGAUGGCGGAGCUAAUAGCAAAAUCGAAUGCCUUUAGAAGGAGCCACAAGGAAAAGAUGGCUGAACUCAUUAAACUGGACGAACAGAUUGCUGCCAAAAGAGCUGAGCUCCAAAAGCUGUAGGAUCUAUUGAAAUGCACACAGGCACACCCACAGACGAAUGCAGGCACACGCACACACAAACACACACACACGUACACCCCUCACAGUUAUUGUUUUAAAUGGUUCUUAAAUUAAUGACUUAAAUACAGUGUAGACAGGCUGUAGGUUACUUUGGGAAAAAACAUCCAUACAAAGGCGCACCCACAGACGUGUGCAUGUGCAUACAUGCACUCCUCACACAGUUAUUGUGUUUAAAUAUGGUGAAUGUUAUGUUGAAGCAGAUCUUUGAAAACUGUUGU